AUACAACUCAUAUGCGAACCAGGAAAACAUUGACUAAUUAUAUGAAAGACCUAAAAUUGAUUGAAACCUGGAGGACACAAAACCCGAAAGACAGGGAAUACUCUUGCUUGAUUACUUUUGAAUUUCAUCUGAAUUACUGACUAAAGUUAAAAAAUGUUGGUACAGCAGUAUUGUAAUCAGUGUGGUCAUGCAACAGCAUCUAUGGAGAUUGAUCUGGGCAGGAUUAAGCAAUUUUCAAGAUGGAGAUUACAAGUUCAAUUUUUAAAAGACCCGACUUUUGUUAAAUUUGUAGAAAAAUGUAUUGAUAAUGAUUUUGAACUAAACAUAGAUUAAACCACAGCUGGUAUCAGGUGGGAAGCAUUCAAAGUCUAUAUAAGGGGAGAAAUUAUUAGCUAUGCAAGCUCCAAGAUCAAACAGCUUAACCAGGAAUUGAGAACAUUAGAAAAUCUACGUAAAACAGCAGAGACAGAAAUAUAUGUAGCAGGAUGAAUGCUGCACUCUCCUUGGGCUGGCUGUGUUAUGCUCCUGUGACAUAAUGACCGUGCCUUGCUUUGACCAAUCAUGACUGGAGGAUGCACUAUAAAGCUGGGCAAGGGUUACUCAUCGUUCUCUUGCUGCAAUGUCAGGGGCACGCCCCGCUUCCCGUUUGCCUCACUUCCUGUUUACCGUUGCUAACAGGUAUGGUAGCAGUUGCUGCAUUGUUUGCCCUCUCUUUAAGGCUGUGUUCAUUUCUAGUGGUUAUAGAGGCCAUUUAUUAUUAUAGGGUCACUGUUGGGUGUCCAUAGCCAGAGAGCUGAGCCGCUUGCUGGCUGCUGUACGUCCAGUUCGAGCCGUGAGCCGUUACUGGCUGUUACCGUGGCUGCCGGUUGCUCCCGGUUCCCUCGUGGUGGACAAAAUUUACUGACUGGCGGGCCGCCGUUUGUCUGGAGCUGUGCUGGCUACACGGGGUCCCAGUCGUAGGAGACGCUGCUGUUUUGCCUCCGUGGGUUUGUCUCGCAGACGCGGGUCUGUGUUGCCGACGCUUGCCGGUCGGCUUCGUCUUCUUUCAGUCUGUUAUCUGCUUUUGUGUUGACGCUGUGGGUGUCAGGCUGCUUCCAGCUUGUCUCUGUGGCUGCUGACCCACCGUUGUACAUGCUGCUUCUUUUAACGUCCAGAGUGCAUGUGUGAAAAUAGGGUUUAAUUUUCUCUCUUUUCUCCUUGUUUUUUUUUGAGUAUUUACUGCAGUCACGUAGCCAUUUGUGUUUGUUAGGUAUUUUCUUUGGCUGAUUUUAGGAUUUGUGUCACGUGACUGCACUUGAUUAGUCGUUUUGUAUUCAAUGGAUUUUGUUUAAGUAUAAGUUAAUGGUUAUUCAUCAGUUUGUUAAUUGAAUGUUUCAGUUUUGAUAAACUUGUUUUUUUUUUUAUUAUGUUAAGUAGUUUUCUUAAGUGCUGGUAAUUGUUAUUUUGUCAACUGAUUUAUGGAACCGUGUUAAUAACUGUUCCCUUCCCUUUGUGGUUUGCAGAAGCUGUGGGCCUCCGGUGGUGGGGACUGGUGUCUUCGGGUGGUGGGAACCCCUUCCUGUGUGGCGUGCUGCUCAUCCCCUGGUUGUUUUUUUUUUAUUUCUUCACUCAGGUGUGUGUGUGUGUGUGUGUGUGUGUGUGUGUGUGUGUGCGUGUGCGCGCGCGCACACACACGUACACGUGUGAGUGAGGUGAGUGGGGUGAUUUCUCCUGGGCUCCCUUGUGAUGCCCGUUGGCCCAAACCUCCACCGGAGAGCCCCCAGCUCUGAUUAGUCCCCAAACCCUUCAUUUAACAAUCUCUUGUGAAUGGUUGUUUUUUUCUUUAAAUUGGUUUUAAACUGAGUAUUUUUGGUAUUAAAUAAAAUUUGUAUUCUUUUGCCUGCACUGGAA